rnacentral:rRNA from 1 species
GACGAACGCUGGCGGCGUGCUUAACACAUGCAAGUCGAGCGGUAAGGCCCUUUCGGGGGUACACGAGCGGCGAACGGGUGAGUAACACGUGGGUGACCUGCCUUUAGCUCUGGGAUAAGCCCUGGGAAACUGGGGUCUAGUACCGGAUACGACUCCGCGGUGCAUGCUGUGGGGUGGAAAGCCUUGUGCGGCUGGAGAUGGGCCCGCGGGCCUAUCAGCGUUGUUGGUGGGGUGAUGGCCUACCAAGGCGAC